rnacentral:tRNA from 1 species
GCAGAGGUGGCCGAGCGGUUAAUGGCGUCAGACUGUAAAUCUGAUCUCGAAAGGGUACGGCGGUUCGAAUCCGUCCCUCUGCACUA